ACUCCUACGGGAGGCAGCAGUAGGGAAUCUUCCACAAUGGGCGCAAGCCUGAUGGAGCAACACCGCGUGAGUGAAGAAGGGUUUCGGCUCGUAAAGCUCUGUUGUUAAAGAAGAACACGUAUGAGAGUAACUGUUCAUACGUUGACGGUAUUUAACCAGAAAGUCACGGCUAACUACGUGCCAGCAGCCGCGGUAAUACGUAGGUGGCAAGCGUUAUCCGGAUUUAUUGGGCGUAAAGAGAGUGCAGGCGGUUUUCUAAGUCUGAUGUGAAAGCCUUCGGCUUAACCGGAGAAGUGCAUCGGAAACUGGAUAACUUGAGUGCAGAAGAGGUAGUGGAACUCCAUGUGUAGCGGUGGAAUGCGUAGAUAUAUGGAAGAACACCAGUGGCGAAGGCGGCUACCUGGUCUGCAACUGACGCUGAGACUCGAAAGCAUGGGUAGCGAACAGGAUUAGAUACCCCUGGUAGGAUAGAG
rnacentral:rRNA from 1 species